rnacentral:rRNA from 1 species
UACAGAGGUGGCAAGCGAUGUUCGGAAUCACUGGGCUUAAAGCGUGUGUAGGCAGAUCAGUAAGUGUCUUGUGAAAUCCCUCGUCUCAACCGAGGAACUGCUGGGCAAACUACUGAUCUUGAGGUAGGCAGGGGUGCUUGGAACUCUUGGUGGAGCGGUGAAAUGCGUAGAUAUCAAGAGGAACGCCUGUGGAGAAAUCGGAGCACUGGGCCUAUUCUGACGCUGAGAAACGAAAGCGUGGGGAGUGAACGGG